UGAGUUACUGGUAUAGCUCAGUCAUAGAGCAUUUGCUUUGCAUGCAGAAGGUCCUUGGUUCCAUCCCCAGAAUCUCAA